CAGCCAGGAAUGGCUCAUACAGGUGGGUAGACUUUGGAAAGCUCCGAAUGAUAUCCCAGACAGCCAGGUUGCUCACCUGUCAGCUCUAGGCAAGAAGUAUAGAAAUGUUUUGGACGGUUACCUCUACGCACAAACGUCAGAACUGCGUAACAGAAGAAUGCAAUGUUAAACAUAACUAACCUGCUUGCCCUUGAGAGCUCGAUUCUUGAAUUGUCACGCACCCUGGUUUCUUUGCACGAGGCCUGCAACUGUACCCAGAACCGCCUGUGGAUUGACCUGAUAAGAAUGUUUCUCUUGAAAACAGCAUCAAGUUCUUGAGCACCCGCCAUGUGUCUGGAACUGAAAUGAUUGCUGGGGACACGUGGAGAUCAGAGUCAGACCCUGGUGUCACAAAAAGUCUCGGAGUCUGUCCUCAAAGCAAAGGGCACCUGGCCAUACCCUUUCCACCUGCUGCCCGGCCCUUUCCCACAACUAGAUCUCCAAUUCACCACCCUGGACUGCACCAGAACUCUCUCCUCUCUUUGGAAAAGUAUCAUGGGUAUCUAUCACAGAAAGCACUAGUGAGAAAAUGCUUGAAAUUUUGCCAAAAUCACUUUGUCAUCUACCUUUUUUUUAAAAAAUAUUUUAUUUAUUUAUUCAUGAGAGACACAGAGAGAGAGGCAGAGACAAAGGGAGAAGCAGGCUCUCUGUGAGGAACUUGAUGCAGGACUCGAUCCCAGGACCCCGGGAUCAUGACCUGAGUCGAAGGCAGAUACUCAACCACUGAGCCACCCAGGCGCCCCUGUCUUCUACCUUUUAAAAAGUCCAUGCUCGGGCUACCUGCUGAGUUGGUGCAAGAUAUUCUGAAGGAUAGGAAGAUAAAUCACACUGAGACACUCCCUUCCAAGAGCUAACAGGUGGGAUUGUGACAUAAGAGAGAAUAUUACAAAGGUAGCAUCCGGCAUGCUAUUAGGACAAUUCAAAGUUCCAGAUCCAAAAGGCUGGUCAUGUUGGGUGACUGACGUGAUAGUCCAUCCAUCCAGAGUCCUUCCCUUUAUAUAUGACAACCAAGUGGUUGCAGAGUGAUACAGCAAGGAGACAUGUCAGGAACACGUAAAGAGAAGAUAAUAAAUGCUUCUUUCUCAGGUAUGUUCACCUGACUUCUCUUUAAUGAAGUAUUUGCUCUGGUACAAUAAAUUAUUCUAAUUCAUUGGUUCUCUCCUAAUAUACACUUCUUGGAAAACUUACUGGUAAACUUUGUGCCAAAGCAAUUGAGAGAUUACAAAUCACAGAAGAAGAAUUAUUUUUAAUCCUUAUACAAAUAGAUCAUAUUCUAAGGGCAGUUAAAAAUAUCACAAUAUCACAGUCUGCCUUUACACCUACUCGUCCAUUACUCGUUAGAUUCCUUUACUACAAAGGGCUCCAGGAAAAAAACUAGAAACAUAGCUGUGCUGACAACAAAGAGUCAGUUAUGAAGGGAAAGUAGAAAAGAUUUAUCCAUUUGUUAAUAAUGUAGCCAUUUGCUAAUUUAAUUUCUGCUAGAAAUUAAAUUAGCAAGGUGACAUUCACUUCUGAAAAAAAAAACAAAUAAAGGAAGGAAAAAAAUUUUUAAAAAUAGGAAGGAAGGAAGGAAGGAAGGAAGGAAGGAAGGAAGGAAGGAAGGAAGGAAGGAAGGAAGGAAAGAAGGUGCAAGCCACAGGCUGGGAGAAAAUAUUUGCAAAAGACACAUCUGAGAAAGGACUGUUACCUAACUUGAAACUCAGCAGUAAGAAAAUGAACAACCUGAUUAAAAAAUGGGCUAAAGACCUUAAUAGACACCUUCCAAAGAAGAUAUACAGAUGGCAUAUGAAGAGAUUCUUCACAUCCAAUGUCAGCAGGGAAAUGCAGAUUGAACCAACAAUGAGAUGCCACUGCACACCUAUUAGAAGGGCCAAAAUCCAGAACGCUGGCAUCACCAGAAGCUGGUGAGGAUGUGGAGCAACACAAACUCUCCUAUGUUGCUAGUAGGAAUGCAAAAUGGUGCGAUCACUCUAGAAGACAGUUUGGCAAAUUCCUAACAAAAUCAAACAUACCCUUAUCAUAUGAUCCAGCAGUCACGCUCCUCAGUCUUCACCCAAAAAGUUGAAGACAUGUUCACACAAAAAUUUGCACACGGAUGUUUAUAGUGGCUUUAUUCAAAAUUGCCAAAACUUUAGAAGCAACCAAGACGUCCUUGGGUCGGUGAAUGGAUAAAUAAAGUGUGAUUCAUCCAAUGGAAUCUUAUUCAGCACUAAAAAGAAAUGAGCUAUCAAGCUAUGAGAGGCCAUGGACGAAACUUAUAAGCGUAUUGCUAAGUGAAAGAAGCCAACCUGAAAACCUGUAUACUCUGUGAGUCCAACUAUAGGACACUCUUGAAAAGCAAAACUACGGAGAUAAUAAAAAAAAUAAAAUAAAAUAAAAAAUCAAGUGACUGCCCAUGGUUAGUGGGAGGGGGUGAUGAAUUGGUGGAACACAGAUUUUUAAAUCAGUGAAACUAUUCUAUGUGAUACUGUAAUGGUGAAUACGUCUCAUUAUACAUUUGUCAAAAUCCACAGAAAGUACACCAUCAAGAGUGAACCGUUAUGUAAACUGCAGACUGUGGGUGAUAAUGAUGCGUUGAUAUAAGCUCAUCAAUUAUGGUAACAAUGAUGUGUCUAUGUAAGCUCAUCAAUUAUGAUAAGUUAUGCUGAUAUAAGCUCAUCAACACCAUGCUGGUGCUGGAUGUGGGUAAUGGGGCAGGCUGUGCAUGAGUGGGGAUGGGAA
rnacentral:lncRNA from 1 species